GGGGUGUGCUCAGAGCAGAGGACCUGAAGAAUGGCUGUUUGGUUUAAAACACUCCCAAUAGGAAUCUGAGAUCAUUGUGAAGAGAGCACAAAAUGUCAACAAAAAAUGCCUUACAUGU
rnacentral:snoRNA from 1 species